rnacentral:rRNA from 1 species
CUCCUACGGGAGGCAGCAGUGGGGAAUAUUGGACAAUGGGCGAAAGCCUGAUCCAGCCAUGCCGCGUGUGUGAAGAAGGUCUUCGGAUUGUAAAGCACUUUAAGUUGGGAGGAAGGGUUGUAGAUUAAUACUCUGCAAUUUUGACGUUACCGACAGAAAAGCACCGGCUAACUCUGUGCCAGCAGCCGCGGUAAU